AAGUCGUAACAAGGUUUCCGUAGGUGAACCUGCGGAAGGAUCAUUAAUAAGAUUGAGAGAGUGUAGAGAGGAGUUGAGUGGAGAGGAUAGGAGAAGUGUAUAGAUAUAUGCAUGCUGUAUAGUGUGUAUAUAGAUAUACAUUUCACUUGCUACUUGCUCUACAUGGUACUUGCUCUCGCAAGAGAGUGAGCAAAACACACACAAACAUAUAUGAACUACUGACAUUUUCUUACAAUCAAUAUUACUUUUAACAACGGAUCUCUGGGCUCCC
rnacentral:misc_RNA from 1 species